rnacentral:rRNA from 1 species
UACGGGGGGGGGCAAGCGUUGUUCGGAAUUACUGGGCGUAAAGGGCUCGUAGGCGGCCUUCUAAGUCGAACGUGAAAUCCCUGGGCUCAACCCAGGAACUGCGUCCGAUACUGGAAGGCUUGAAUCCGGGAGAGGGAUGCGGAAUUCCAGGUGUAGCGGUGAAAUGCGUAGAUAUCUGGAGGAACACCGGUGGCGAAGGCGGCAUCCUGGACCGGUAUUGACGCUGAGGCGCGAAAGCCAGGGGAGCAAACGGG